rnacentral:rRNA from 1 species
GACGAACGCUGGCGGCGUGCUUAACACAUGCAAGUCGAACGAAGUGGCGAACGGGUGAGUAACGCGUAAUCAACCUGCCCUUCAGCGGGGGACAACAGUUGGAAACGACUGCUAAUACCGCAUACUGAAGGAGGGGAUUGCGUCGGAUUCGCUAGUUGGAGGGGUAACGGCCCACCAAGGGGAGGAUCAGUAGCCUGUCGGAGAGGAUGAACGGCCAGAGUGGGACUGGGACACGGCCCAGAUUCCUACGGGAGGCAGCAGUGGGGAAUCUUGCGCAAUGGACGAAAGUCUGACGGGGCAACGCCGCGGGAGUGAUGACGGCCUUCGGGUUGUAAAGCUCUGUUAAUCGGGACGCGGUACCGGAAUAGAAAGCCACGGCUAACUACGUGCCAGCAGCCGCGGUAAUUC